rnacentral:rRNA from 1 species
AUAUACGCUGAUGGAAAAUACCACUCGCCUCCAGAGACUGGCCAUUAAAAAAAGAGAAGGCAACGUACGGUCCUAUAUGGCAGCUGCAGCGGUACGCGGGGUCGCCGCGAAACAACGCAACAAGCAGAAACAGAACGCGGAGGGAAUCGGACAGAGUUAUGAGUCAGCGGAGUGAGCGGCGGGCCCUCACUUUGAGUGGCCUUCGAGCGAAAAUUAACACAGUUGAGACUCCUCUCCUCCUCUUUAACGCCUCGCUGUUCCUAUGUUUACACCCCUCCAGAACUUUAAUAAGCAGAACUGUGAUGUUACCUGAAGGCAGUAAGGCCGGUGGUCGCAUGCUGCAGCCCAGUGGAAGAUCGAUUAUUAUUUUCUGCAAUAGAAAUCAGACUAAAUGCCAUAAGAUACUGGGCCAUUUAGGCAUAGUUGGUACUGGGAGGCGACGCUGAUGGCAAGACGGUUAAUUGGCAUUUGGUCACAGCGAUAGAGCCCUCGAAGCAGGAGCAAUUUUGGAACCACCAUGCGGCCCAGCUCAAACGAAUUCGUUUUCUCUUGGUGCGGCGGGCUGAGGCAGGUUCAACGGAAAUAAAAGAGUGCAGGCAAGUGGCUGUACAAUCCUCCACCGUUCCUGGUCAAGGGAGGAUUACGUGCGCGCGAGUGCUGCUGCGCUUCAUAACCUGACACCCAUGUAAGGCGCAUGCCAAUCGACACCUGUAAACAAGAAGGAGGUAUAUGCGGCAGAGAGGUUGUCGUUCGUGAGCAGUCCGUGUGCCACAAACUACAGGCAUGAAUUGGCCCUGAUGACGCGAACAAGAAUCCAAUGAUUGUAACAGAGCGGGGUGCUGCGCGAGGCUGGACGGUCGUGACCACAUGGCGAUGUUUGCAGCCGAUAAUUGUGGGGCUCAGGAUUGAUCUAUCCCACUUCGGGGAGACACCGCAUCCACCAUCAGAGGCGGCCUACUUCCCUUUCUUUGAAGUGCGGGUUUACAAUCCACUCGCGUAGUUUGCUCCCACAUCAAUGCCAGAGGGGGCGGCCGAGAAUUGCUGAUGGCAGGGAUUCGGCUACGGGUCAGGUGGGCAGAACGAUAUUUCAUGAGGUGUGGCGCAGCGUUAAUGAGGGAGGAGAGAAUCUCCUGAUGGUUUUAUGUAGUUGUCCAUUUGCUGAUUUUUCUUUGUAGGUAUAUACGGAUAGUAUUUAUGUAGACUAGAUUAGUUUAGACUACGAUAAGUAUGUAGAUCGGUAUAUUUAAUACAUUGAUUUUAUUACACUUAUAUUUUUACAAUAGUUAGGAUUCUGAUACUUUAAAAUAAGUAAUGAAGUGACUCUGUAAUUGGAUUUGUAAGUUAAUAAAGAAUGUAUUUGAAUAGCCAAAUGCCUCGUCAUCUAAUUAGUGACGUGCAUGAAUGGAUUAACGAGAUUCCUACCGUCCCUAUCUACUAUCUAGCGAACCCACAGCCAAGGGAACGGGCUUGGAAUAAUUAGUGGGGAAAGAAGACCCUGUUGAGCUUGACUCUAAUCUGGCAGUGUAAGGAGAACAUAAGAGGUGUAGAAUAAGUGGGAGAUAUUGGUGCUCGGGCCUUUAUCGACAAUGAAAUACCACUACUCUUAUUGUUUCCUUACUUACUUGAUUAAGUGGAACGUGUAUCAUUUCUUACCAUUUACGGAUAUAUUUAUAUAUAGCUUAUGGUAUUGGGUUCGUAUUGAUCAAGCUUCUUGAUCAAAGUACUAAGAGUUUGUUAUAUAAUUGUAAACAAAUCUCGAUGAGAUGAUGGUAUUUCGGUGCUAUUGUCGUAUUUGAAAUUUGGUAUAACUCCUAAUACUCAGGUAUGAUCCAAUUCAAGGACAUUGCCAGGUAGGGAGUUUGACUGGGGCGGUACAUCUCUCAAAUAAUAACGGAGGUGUCCCAAGGCCAGCUCAGUGCGGACAGAAACCACACAUAGAGCAAAAGGGCAAAUGCUGACUUGAUCCUCGGGUGUUCAGGUAAACACAGGCUGACAGCAAAAGGCCCGGCCUAUCGAAUCCUUUUUGCUUUUAAGGAGUAUUAACAAGAGUGUUAGAAAAGCUUACAAUAGGGAUAACUGGCCUUGUGGCUGCACAAGCGUUCAUAAGUCGACGUCGCUUUUUGAUCCUUUCGAUGUCGGCUCUUCACUAUGAUUGUAAAAGCAAAAUUCACGCAAGCGUUGGAUAUCUGUUCCCCAUGCAAGGAACGUAAGGUUGGGUUUUAGACCUCGUCGUGAGACAGUUUAGUAUUCACCCUUCUAAUGAUAAUAUGUUGUUGCGACAGCAUUCUUGGGUAGUACGAGAGGAACCGCAUGUACGGACCUAUUGUCUACAAUACUUGUCGAGCGAACAAUGGUAUGACGGCUACGUCUCAUUUGGAUUAUGCCUGAACGCCUCUAGGUCGACCGAGCUGGACUGCAAUGAAUAAAAAUGGUCGGCAAUUGGCAUUGUAUGGCUAGUAAACCAUUUAAAGUUUAUUUCUGAUUGCCUAAAUGUUAUUUGCUAACAUAGCAAAUGUUAGCGAGGAUUCUAUCACCUGCAUGCCGCCUAGUUACUUAUGAAAACCAUUACUUUAAUACAAUGAAAAUUGGCCUAGAAUCAAUUGU